rnacentral:rRNA from 1 species
CGCAUCUGUGCAUGCAGCAUAUCAAUAAGCGGAGGAAAAGAAACUAGCAAGGAUUCCCCUAGUAACGGCGAGUGAAGCGGGAAGAGCUCAAAUUUGAAAUCUUAAAGGGUUUCCCUUUACGAAUUGUAGUUUAAAGAAGUGUUUUCUGUUGAGGUUUUGGUAAAAGUUCUUUGGAAUAGGACAUCAUAGGAGGGUGAGAAUCCCGUAUUUGACCUUUACUUUCAACUUUGUGAUACACUUUCAAAGAGUCGGAUUGUUUGGGAAUGCAGUCCAAAAUGGGUGGUAAAUUUCAUCUAAAGCUAAAUAUUGGCGAGAGACCGAUAGCGAACAAGUACCGUGAGGGAAAGAUGAAAAGAACUUUGAAAAGAGAGUUAAACAGUACGUGAAAUUGUCAAAAGGGAAGCGUUUGACACCAGUGUUGUUUUUCUGAAAAUCAAUUAAAGAACUGUUUAUGCUAAGCUGUUUAGACUUUAUCAGCUAUCUGUUUAGUUUUGAGCUUUUCUUUAAUGCACUUUUCAGUUAACAAGUCAACAUCAAUUUCUUUUGCUGUAAAAAAGCUUGAGGAAGGUGGCUUGAGAUUCGUCUUAAGUGUUUAUAGCCUCUUGCCUAUGCAGUCGGAGAGAUUGAGGUCUGCAGCGUAGAUCCUUCGGGGCUAAAUGCAUUUGUGCUAAGUUAUAGCAUUUUAUAGACAACUUGUUGACUAUGAUUUGUCUUGUAGCUCACUCGCUUACGUUAUUUUACCUACGCUUAGGAUGUUGAGUCGUAGAGCACGCAG